rnacentral:rRNA from 1 species
CUACGUGCCAGCAGCCGCGGUAAUACGGAGGGUGCGAGCGUUAAUCGGAAUAACUGGGCGUAAAGGGCACGCAGGCGGUGACUUAAGUGAGGUGUGAAAGCCCCGGGCUUAACCUGGGAAUUGCAUUUCAUACUGGGUCGCUAGAGUACUUUAGGGAGGGGUAGAAUUCCACGUGUAGCGGUGAAAUGCGUAGAGAUGUGGAGGAAUACCGAAGGCGAAGGCAGCCCCUUGGGAAUGUACUGACGCUCAUGUGCGAAAGCGUGGGGAGCAAACAGGAUUAGAUACCCUGGUAGUCCACGCUGUAAACGAUGUCGAUUUGGGGGUUGAACUUUAAGUUUGGCGCCCGUAGCUAACGUGAUAAAUCGACCGCCUGGGUAGUACGGCCGCAAGGUUAAAACUCAAAUGAAUUGACGGGGGCCCGCACAAGCGGUGGAGCAUGUGGUUUAAUUCGAUGCAACGCGAAGAACCUUACCUACUCUUGACAUCCAGAGAACAUUC